GAGGACAACUUUUGAUUGGCUGGAAAGAUGAUUUAAUCUCUGUGUCCCUAACAUCAAGCCGAGUUCCUGGCACAGGGAGCCUGAUGGAUCAUUAGUGACACGAUUAGAGAGAGAGUGAUCCCGAUCUCAGCUUGAGAAUAUCAAACCUA